AGUCGGAAUAUUGGAGUCAGAUUUUAGCAGAGUUGGAUUUUCAAAUUUUUACUCAGCCCUAAUGAAAACCACCAAAUACAUCACUCAACUUUCAACUCAGCAGCUCCUUCAUCUAUUAUUUCGAGUAUCCUGCUAGGAUUGUUCAUCCGAACCGGAUUUUUAUCCAGCCCGGUCCGAAACCCGGAAAACCGAAUUCUGGUUCUGGAUUUCGAAUCCGGACCGAAACCCGGAUUAUAAAAUCCGGACCUACACGGUCUGGAUACGGGUUUAAAAUCCGGGUACUGGGUUUAAAACCCAGUUUUAUGUUUACAAACCUAGUUUUAACUUUACCUUUGUUUCCGCCGCUCUCUCUCUCUCUCUCUCUCUCUCUCUCUCUCUCUCUCUCUCUCUCUCUCUCUCUCUCUCUCUCUCUCUCUCUCUCUCUCAAGUCCCAUUCGAGUUUCUGGCCCCUCUACCAGAUUGCAAGGUUGAAUCCUUGCUUCGCAGCGUGCUGGAAGUGAAUCUCCUAAGCCCCAUUCGAGUUUCUGACUGGUCGAGGGAGGAGGCAACCGUCGGGUGCUUGGGAGAGCUCACGACAUUCCUGUGCUGCUCAAGGACAGCAUAUCCACCAAGAACACGGCUGAGUUGUGCGCGCGCUGCCGAGAUCGAAGACCACAGAAGGUUGCCCGGCAUCAAGACAUUGAUCAAUCUAGUGGAGCUGAAGAUGAAAUGUCUGAUUGAUUUAUUCUAAUCCAAAUUCUGCUGCCUUGAAGUAAAAAGUUCCCAAUUUUUUCAAGCAGGUAGACUGGUGUCAGGUGAACUGGUGUUUUAUUGUGCUAAUGCCACAAAGAUGUGAGGUAAAGUAGUAAUAUAUCUAAAUGUAUGUUCAUUCCAGCUUUCAAUUAUAUGUAUAAACAUAUUUUUAGAUUGUAGCUGGUUAUGGUUGAUAUAUAGCCUUUUUUCCUUUAAUACCAUGGAAUAAAAAAAGUGAAAAUAGGUCAUGUCCUGUAAAAGGAAACCAGACAGUAGAAUUUUGUUGAGUUCUCUGCCGAGUUCAUUCAAAUCAUUUUGAAGGUGUUUGGUAUGGCAAUUUAAGCAUUUAUAGUUUAUUAUAUACUAUUUUGUUGUCUUUUCUUUUCAUAUUUGAACAAAGAUUUUUGUGGACUCAUUACUUAAAACUAUUGUUCUUGAGAAAUGAUUGGAAAUUGCUAAUACUUCCGUAUUCUAGCCACCAGCAGUUGACAUACAUACAUACAUUCUAUGAUGCAAAAACAUGUUUUGAAAGUAGACAAACUAAUUCUUUAGUGGAGAAGGAUGAUAACAAGUCUAUUGGCAACGGUGGGAGCACAUCAAAUGCAUCACAAACUGUGCCAGUUGAUUCUGAAGAGAAUGAUGAUAUGGAAAGUGUUUUUUCUGGGAAGAAAAAAAAAACUAUCCGAGGUUCUUGAUGCUGCUGUUGCCUACAGAUUUUUCAAGUGUUGCUGAUGGAGUUUGAAAUCACAAGAAAUUAGAAUGUUCUUAGCAAAUUAGUUCAUGUUUUUUGUUGUGUAUUGGAGUUUGAUUAAAACAAUGUAGGUGUUUUGUAAUGUUCUUAGUAAAUUAGUUCAAAUAAUAUAAUAUGUAGUAGAUUGCAUCGGGAA